rnacentral:rRNA from 1 species
GGGUUGUGAGGUUAAGCGACUAAGCGUACACGGUGGAUGCCCUGGCAGUCAGAGGCGAUGAAGGACGUGCUAAUCUGCGAAAAGCGUCGGUAAGGUGAUAUGAACCGUUACAGCCGGCGAUGUCCGAAUGGGGAAACCCAGUGCAAUUCGUUGCACUAUCGUUAACUGAAUACAUAGGUUAACGAGGCGAACCGGGGGAACUGAAACAUCUAAGUACCCCGAGGAAAAGAAAUCAACCGAGAUUCCCCCAGUAGCGGCGAGCGAACGGGGAGCAGCCCAGAGUCUGAAUCAGCUUGUGUGUUAGUGGAACGGUCUGGAAAGUCCGACGGUACAGGGUGAUAGUCCCGUACACCAAAAUGCACAGGCUGUGAACUCGAAGAGUAGGGCGGGACACGUGGUAUCCUGUCUGAAUAUGGGGGGACCAUCCUCCAAGGCUAAAUACUCCUGACUGACCGAUAGUGAACCAGUACCGUGAGGGAAAGGCGAAAAGAACCCCGGCGAGGGGAGUGAAAAAGAACCUGAAACCGUGUACGUACAAGCAGUGGGAGCACCUUCGGGUGUGACUGCGUACCUUUUGUAUAAUGGGUCAGCGACUUAUAUUCUGUAGCAAGGUUAACCGUAUAGGGGAGCCGCAGGGAAACCGAGUCUUAACUGGGCGUUAAGUUGCAGGGUAUAGACCCGAAACCCGGUGAUCUAGCCAUGGGCAGGUUGAAGGUUGGGUAACACUAACUGGAGGACCGAACCGACUAAUGUUGAAAAAUUAGCGGAUGACUUGUGGCUGGGGGUGAAAGGCCAAUCAAACCGGGAGAUAGCUGGUUCUCCCCGAAAGCUAUUUAGGUAGCGCCUCGUGAAUUCAUCUUCGGGGGUAGAGCACUGUUUCGGCUAGGGGGUCAUCCCGACUUACCAACCCGAUGCAAACUACGAAUACCGAAGAAUGUUAUCACGGGAGACACACGGCGGGUGCUAACGUCCGUCGUGAAGAGGGAAACAACCCAGACCGCCAGCUAAGGUCCCAAAGUCAUGGUUAAGUGGGAAACGAUGUGGGAAGGCACAGACAGCCAGGAUGUUGGCUUAGAAGCAGCCAUCAUUUAAAGAAAGCGUAAUAGCUCACUGGUCGAGUCGGCCUGCGCGGAAGAUGUAACGGGGCUAAACCAUGCACCGAAGCUGCGGCAGCGACACUAUGUGUUGUUGGGUAGGGGAGCGUUCUGUAAGCCUGCGAAGGUGUGCUGUGAGGCAUGCUGGAGGUAUCAGAAGUGCGAAUGCUGACAUAAGUAACGAUAAAGCGGGUGAAAAGCCCGCUCGCCGGAAGACCAAGGGUUCCUGUCCAACGUUAAUCGGGGCAGGGUGAGUCGACCCCUAAGGCGAGGCCGAAAGGCGUAGUCGAUGGGAAACAGGUUAAUAUUCCUGUACUUGGUGUUACUGCGAAGGGGGGACGGAGAAGGCUAUGUUAGCCGGGCGACGGUUGUCCCGGUUUAAGCAUGUAGGCUGGUUAUCCAGGCAAAUCCGGAUAAUCAAGGCUGAGGUGUGAUGACGAGGCACUACGGUGCUGAAGUAACAAAUGCCCUGCUUCCAGGAAAAGCCUCUAAGCAUCAGGUAACAUCAAAUCGUACCCCAAACCGACACAGGUGGUCAGGUAGAGAAUACCAAGGCGCUUGAGAGAACUCGGGUGAAGGAACUAGGCAAAAUGGUGCCGUAACUUCGGGAGAAGGCACGCUGGUGUGUAGGUGAAGUCCCUGCGGAUGGAGCUGAGACCAGUCGAAGAUACCAGCUGGCUGCAACUGUUUAUUAAAAACACAGCACUGUGCAAACACGAAAGUGGACGUAUACGGUGUGACGCCUGCCCGGUGCCGGAAGGUUAAUUGAUGGGGUUAUCCGUAAGGAGAAGCUCUUGAUCGAAGCCCCGGUAAACGGCGGCCGUAACUAUAACGGUCCUAAGGUAGCGAAAUUCCUUGUCGGGUAAGUUCCGACCUGCACGAAUGGCGUAAUGAUGGCCAGGCUGUCUCCACCCGAGACUCAGUGAAAUUGAACUCGCUGUGAAGAUGCAGUGUACCCGCGGCAAGACGGAAAGACCCCGUGAACCUUUACUAUAGCUUGACACUGAACAUUGAGCCUUGAUGUGUAGGAUAGGUGGGAGGCUUUGAAGCGUGGACGCCAGUCUGCGUGGAGCCAACCUUGAAAUACCACCCUUUAAUGUUUGAUGUUCUAACGUUGGCCCCUUACCGGGGUUGCGGACAGUGUCUGGUGGGUAGUUUGACUGGGGCGGUCUCCUCCCAAAGCGUAACGGAGGAGCACGAAGGUUAGCUAAUCCUGGUCGGACAUCAGGAGGUUAGUGCAAUGGCAUAAGCUAGCUUGACUGCGAGCGUGACGGCGCGAGCAGGUGCGAAAGCAGGUCAUAGUGAUCCGGUGGUUCUGAAUGGAAGGGCCAUCGCUCAACGGAUAAAAGGUACUCCGGGGAUAACAGGCUGAUACCGCCCAAGAGUUCAUAUCGACGGCGGUGUUUGGCACCUCGAUGUCGGCUCAUCACAUCCUGGGGCUGAAGUAGGUCCCAAGGGUAUGGCUGUUCGCCAUUUAAAGUGGUACGCGAGCUGGGUUUAGAACGUCGUGAGACAGUUCGGUCCCUAUCUGCCGUGGGCGCUGGAGAAUUGAGGGGGCUGCUCCUAGUACGAGAGGACCGGAGUGGACGCAUCACUGGUGUUCGGGUUGUCAUGCCAAUGGCACUGCCCGGUAGCUAAAUGCGGAAGAGAUAAGUGCUGAAAGCAUCUAAGCACGAAACUUGCCCCGAGAUGAGUUCUCCCUGAGACUUUAAGUCUCCUGAAGGAACGUUGAAGACGACGACGUUGAUAGGCCGGGUGUGUAAGCGCAGCGAUGCGUUGAGCUAACCGGUACUAAUGAACCGUGAGGCUUAACCUUACAACGCCGAAG